rnacentral:sRNA from 2 species
GUAACAAGGUUUCCGUAGGUGAACCUGCGGAAGGAUCAUUACCGUGCCCGCGGCCGCCGGCGGCUCCUUCGGGGGCUCGUUCGGCGCCGCGUCCGGCCCAACCGUGUCUAUCUGUACCUGUUGCUUCGGCGGGCCUGCGGGCUCUGCUCGCUGCCGGGGGCCCCUGGGGCUCCGGGCUCGUGCCCGCCGAAGACGCCUGGAACUACUGUCGAAGUUGGCGGUCUGAGUGGACUUGAUAAUCGUUAAAACUUUCAACAACGGAUCUCUUGGUUCCGGCAUCGAUGAAGAACGCAGCGAAAUGCGAUAAGUAAUGUGAAUUGCAGAAUUCCGUGAAUCAUCGAAUCUUUGAACGCACAUUGCGCCCCCUGGUAUUCCGGGGGGCAUGCCUGUCCGAGCGUCAUUGCAACCCCUUCAAGCCCGGCUUGUGUGUUGGGCGUCGUCCCCGCUGGACGCGCCCGAAAGGCAGUGGCGGCUCCGUGUCCGGUGCCCGAGCGUAUGGGCUUUGUCACCCGCUUCAGUGGCCCGGCCGGCGUCGGCCUCCAAGUCUUAACUGGAGUCUAGUUAAAGCCUUCACGGGACUUAACUGGACUUUGGUUAAGGUCUUAACCAAACUUUCGUGGUUGACCUCGGAUCAGGUAGGGAUACCCGCUGAACUUAAGCAUAUCAAUAAGC